GAAAAGUAUACUUUUCGAAUUUUUUUGAUAAUCAAAAGUCGACUUUUUCUGAUAAUCAAAAAGUUGACUUUCGACUGUUUUUUAUUAUCAAAAUGUUGACUUUUGCCUUUUUUCAAUUAACAAAAAUAAGCGCGGUAUACUAUUGUUGUCUAUGGUCUGCAUUUAAAAAUUGGAAUAUUAAAGCUUUUACAAUCACAUUUAGUACUCGAUUUCACUGAAAUUUUAAAUGGGCGAACAAUGUGAGAAAUGUAGGGCCCAAAGAGGAACUCUUUCAGAAUUGAAUUUGAUUACAAAAAAAUUGUCGUGUCUUUAAAACCAAAAUCUAAACAAAGAUACAAAUAUUGUAAUCAUUUACUUUGUAACGCUUGAACAACAAUGAACCGACUGAUGAAAACGCAACCUACUUGCAAUAUAUGUAUAUUAGGUAUGUACAACAUAGACAAAUAUGCCACUGAAGCUGAAUUCUGCAAACAAUUCAAUUUUAACUCUCUGGCCUGCAUAUUAGGAAUAGUCAUUCAAAACAAGAAAAACAAAAAUUGCACUGCAACGCAAAGAGUAUAGCAAACUAACACAGUUGUAUGUGAAAGACUUUGAAAUAACUUUGUAUCUAAAUUUAUAAACACACUUUGGUGGUGGCGAAGAGUUCUCAUCAUAA